UUUGCAAACCUAUUAAUGAAUUCUUCUAUAUUUACAGUAAUGUCUUUAUGUCUGUGUAAUAUGUAAAGUUAUUUAUAACAGAUAACACAAAUUUAUGUUUGUUUCUGUGUUUGAUUAUGGCUAUUAUCACAACUAUUAUUUAUUAUAUCAUGAAACAUGCUAUCUAUACAAAGGUAUACUUAAUACCUACAUCAAAAAUAUUAAAUAAAUGGUUAGUAAAAAAAAAAACCAAGGGGGAAGUAACCGCUACGUCACUCUCUCCAUAAAUCCACCCUUACCAUAUCUCAUACAUAUAUGAAUAACUUAUAUAAGUUGCAAAGUUAUUUUCUACUUGAUUGACUAUAUACUUAUACACCCUUACUUAACUAAUUUCCUAAAUACAAAACUCUUUGUUUGUUAAAAUGUUAAAUAUAAGACGACCAGACGUUAAUACAUUCAUGUUGGUCCGUAGCUUGACCAAUGGUUCAGGGAGGGGAGAAAACAGAUUUGUAAAGGAUAAAUAGUAAAUAAUAGAAGAAAAAAUAAUAUUAGGCCAUUUUUAAUUUAAUUUUACAUAUCAGGUACAAUUAAUAUUUGACUUGUGAUUUAACAAUAAUAUAUUAUUAAUAAAAGUAAAGCUCUAUGAUUAGGUUUCACAAAGUAAUUUUUUUAAUUAUUUAUAUUAAUGUCACAAGUGAAAUGCUAGGGUGGGCUACGGUUGUGUCUAAGAAAGGCAGGCAAUGUCCACGUUUUCUCCCCUCCCCAAACAUGAUUAGGGCUAUUACGGGUAUACAUUCACUCCUUAUUAUUUAUUUAUACUUUAUAUUAGGUGGUGUUACGUUAAAUGAAGUAUUAAAUGCAUUACCACAAUCCACUGGUCCAAAUUUUGCCGGUAAGAAAGUUAUUUUACGUGGUAAUAGCCAAUAGGCGAUUAUAAUUAGGUUUUAUUAUUGUUAUGGAGGUUAAGUAUUGCUUUGUCGUCGAAAAUAUUUUACGUUAUUAUUAUAUUGGGCACUAUGUGGACAUAUGGACAUUAGAUGGUCAAUCCACGGUCCGUAUGUUGUGGACUACAGUGCCGACGUUUACAUAUAACCACCACCCGAGGAGAUAGUACGGCAUAGAGAAGGUUUCGUGUAUUUAUAAUAAUAUUUUUUAAUUACCUAAUUUAUUAUAUAAUAUUGUUAAUAAUUGUUUCAUGUUUAUUAUAUAAAAAAUAUGUAUGCAACAGUUAUAGAAAAAUAUUUAUAGGUGGUGCAGUUGAAUAUUGUAUUUAUCUACAAUUACUUAACACACAAGCCGAAAUCGUCAAUUUAACUUCAGUACCAGAUGAAAAAAUUCAAAAGUUUGAAAAAUCUUCUUUCAAAUGUUAAGGAUAUUAUGAAUGCAAAAGUUUUGCGUUUAGUUAUUAGCGUAUUUUUCACUAAUUUCAUUGAAACAGAAGGCAGUACGAAUAAAGUAGUUGAACCUCAUAUUAGAUACAAUACCUUCAAAAAUAUUUUACUAAUAUUGUAAAUUCUUAUAUUAAAUAAUAUCAUAUAUUUGUACUUAAUUUAUUAAAAAAAAAAUAUUGUAUUCAGAAUUCUUUUAUGGUUAUUGAUUGUUUCAUUAUGGUCUAAUAAUCUAAUAAAUGGCAAUAUAAAAAUAAUAAAUAUUUAAUAUUAUUAUAUUCAAAAAAAUAAUGUAAGAAUCUUUAAAAGUGUUGUUACAACUAUUAAUUAUUAUUAUAUUAUGCUAAAUGUCUUAUUAAAUUGAGUAACA